rnacentral:rRNA from 1 species
CAGUCGCCGCGGUAAUACGUAGGUGGCAAGCGUUGUCCGGAAUUAUUGGGCGUAAAGCGCGCGCAGGCGGAUAGGUCAGUCUGUCUUAAAAGUUCGGGGCUUAACCCCGUGAUGGGAUGGAAACUGCCAAUCUAGAGUAUCGGAGAGGAAAGUGGAAUUCCUAGUGUAGCGGUGAAAUGCAUAGAUAUUAGGAGGAACACCAGUGGCGAAGGCGACUUUCUGGACGAAAACUGACGCUGAGGCGCGAAAGCCAGGGGAGCGAACGGGAUUAGAUACCCCUGUAGUCCCUGUCUCUUAUACA